rnacentral:rRNA from 1 species
GACGAACGCUGGCGGCGUGCCUAAUACAUGCAAGUAGAACGAGUUGCGAACGGGUGAGUAACGCGUGGUAACCUGCCUCAUAGCGGGGGAUAACUACUGGAAACGGUAUCUAAUACCGCAUACCAUCGGAUGUGCCCAGAUUGGGUUAGCUCGUAGGUGGGGUAACGGCUCACCUGGGCGACGAUCCCUAGCUGGUCUGAGAGGAUGACCAGCCACACUGGAACUGAGACGCGGUCCAACCUCCUACGGGAGGCAGCAGUGGGGAAUAUUGCACAAGGGGCGCAAGCCGGAUGCAGCCAUGCCGCGUGUAUGAAGAAGGCCUUCGGGUUGUAAAGUACUUUCAGCGAGGAGGCGUUGCUCGCAGAAGAAGCACCGGCUAACUCCGUGCCAGCAGCCGCGGUAAUUC